rnacentral:rRNA from 2 species
AGACCCGAAACCCGGUGAUCUAGCCAUGGGCAGGUUGAAGGUUGGGUAACACUAACUGGAGGACCGAACCGACUAAUGUUGAAAAAUUAGCGGAUGACCUGUGGCUGGGGGUGAAAGGCCAAUCAAACCGGGAGAUAGCUGGUUCUCCCCGAAAGCUAUUUAGGUAGCGCCUCGUGAAUUCAUCUCCGGGGGUAGAGCACUGUUUCGGCUAGGGGGCCAUCCCGGCUUACCAACCCGAUGCAAACUGCGAAUACCGGAGAAUGUUAUCACGGGAGACACACGGCGGGUGCUAACGUCCGUCGUGAAGAGGGAAACAACCCAGACCGCCAGCUAAGGUCCCAAAGUCAUGGUUAAGUGGGAAACGAUGUGGGAAGGCCCAGACAGCCAGGAUGUUGGCUUAGAAGCAGCCAUCAUUUAAAGAAAGCGUAAUAGCUCACUGGUCGAGUCGGCCUGCGCGGAAGAUGUAACGGGGCUAAACCAUGCACCGAAGCUGCGGCAGCGACACUCAGGUGUUGUUGGGUAGGGGAGCGUUCUGUAAGCCUGCGAAGGUGG